AUCCAGCUGAUGAAUCCGAAAUAGGACGAUACGCGCGUCGUAAAU
rnacentral:hammerhead_ribozyme from 1 species